rnacentral:rRNA from 1 species
UACGUAGGUGGCAAUCGUUGUCCGGAAUUAUUGGGCGUAAAGCGCGCGCAGGCGGUUAUGUAAGUCUGAUGUUAAAGCCCGGGGCUCAACCUCGGUUCGCAUUGGAAACUGCGUAACUUGAGUGCAGAAGAGGAAAGUGGUAUUCCACGUGUAGCGGUGAAAUGCGUAGAGAUGUGGAGGAACACCAGUGGCGAAGGCGACUUUCUGGUCUGUAACUGACGCUGAGGCGCGAAAGCGUGGGGAGAAAACAGG